rnacentral:misc_RNA from 1 species
AACGCACGAGACCUGCGGACCUGCGGAAGGAUCAUUAUUGAAUAAACUUGGUUGGGCUGUUGCUGGCUCCUUGGAGCAUGUGCACGCCUAGCACCAAUUUUUACCACCUGUGCACCUUUGUGGACCUGGAUACCUCUCGAGGAAACUCGGUUGGAGGACUGCUGUGCGAAAGCCAGCUUUCCUUACAUUUCCGGUUCAUGUUUUCACAUACCCCAUACGAAUGUAACAGAAUGUCGUUUA